ensembl:snoRNA
UUGGCCCUGGAUCAAGGCCAGCAGUUUGCUGAAGCUGCUGGUUUCAAACAGGAACCUGAAGAAAUGUUUUUCUAUAGUCUGGUGGACAUAUCAGAAAAUUGGAAGUGCAAUGGUCAAUUCAUUAGAAAGAAGUAUCU